UUGACCUCAGAUCAGGUAGGACUACCGCCUGAACUUAAGCAUAUCAAUAAGGCGAGGAACAGAAACCAACAGGGAUUCCCCUAGUAGUGGCGAAUGAAGCGGGAAAAGCUCAAGUUUGAAAUCCGGUGGGGUCAUCCCCUCCAGAGUUGUAAGCUGAAGAGGCGUCGACCGACGUUGUCCGGGCCCAAUUUCCUUGGAACAGGAGGUCAUGGAGGGUGAGAACCCCGUCUGUGGCUCGGAGCCAACGUCCUUGUGUCGUGUCCUCGAAGAGUCGGGUUGUUUGGGAAUGCAGCUCAAAAUGGGUGGUAAAUUCCAUCUAAGGCUAAAUAUUGGCGAGAGACCGAUAGGAAACAAGUAGAGUGAUCGAAAGAUGAAAAGUACUUUGAAAAGAGAGUGAAACAGUACGUGAAAUUGUUGAAAGGGAAGCGUUUGGCAUCAGCCCAUGGCGUCCGUCGAUCACUCGAGCUUCUGUUCGAUGCACUUGACGGACGUCGGGCCAGCGUCGGCUUUGCCUGCCGGAGAAAGGUCUCGGGAAUGUGGCACCCCUCGGGGUGUGUUAUAGCCCUUGGCGUCAUACGGUGUGGCGGGGCCGAGGUCCGCGGUUUAUACCU
rnacentral:rRNA from 1 species